GAGGGUAUAGCUCAGUGGGAGAGCGCAUGCCUAGCAUGCACGAGGUCCUGGGUUCAAUUCCCAGUACCGCCA
rfam:Camelus ferus isolate Naran unplaced genomic scaffold scaffold94658, whole genome shotgun sequence.